rnacentral:snoRNA from 1 species
UGCAGAUGAUGCAAACAAAUAUUUGCUAUCUGAGUUAACGUGAUGACUCCCAACCACCAAGAUCGCUGAUGCA